rnacentral:rRNA from 1 species
AGUGAACGCUGGCGGCAUGCCUAAUACAUGCAAGUCGAACGGCAGCACAGUAAGCUCUUUCUCUUACGGUUGGCGACUGGCGGACGAGUAACGAAUACAUCACAUUCUUCUUUUUCUUGGGUGAUUACGUAGGGCAGCUUACGCUACUACAUCAUACGACCUACGGCUUGAAUCAAGAGUUCUUCACAGCUUUCCUGUCUCAAUGAGCUGAUGUCGGAUUAGCUAGUUGGCGGGGUAAAGUCCCACCAAGGCGACGAGCCGUAGCUGAUCUGAGAGGAUGAUCAGCCACACUGGAACUGAGACACGGUCCAGACUCCUACGGGAGGCAGCAGUGGGGAAUAUUGGACAAUGGGCGAAAGCCUGAUGCAGCAAUACCGCGUGGGUGAAGAAGGCCUUCGGGUUGUAAAGCUCUGUUGUUGGGAAAGAAAAGAUGCAGAUUAAAAUACGGAUGUUCUGACGGUACCCAAAGAGUAAGCAACGGCUAACUACGUG